rnacentral:piRNA from 1 species
UAGAAGUUCUAACAUAAGCCAUGAUGUGUCC